ACUUGUGUUCCUGAAGAGUGAGGUUGGCCCAGUUGGGCAGGGCUUAGUGUAAUGGCUCCGUUCUCCACUAGAUGGCGCUGCUUAGCUUACUGGGGAGGAUUGCUUUGGUGCUUGUAGGUACCUAUGCGCAUGCGCGGGAACAGUGGCCCUGACACCCAGCAACUCAGUCGCUAGUAUCGAACUCUGUUCCCCCCGAUGUGCAAUUGUGCACCCAUCCUUUGUCUUCGGCCUCUGACCACUCCCGGUUUUACGCUGUCGGUGACCAAGCCCCAGGCAGCCCUUCCCUCCUGAGUUUUAUCUCAGAUGCGGCUAUGUUUCCUGACCCCUUACUUCUGAGGGACCACAGCUCUGACCCACUCGGCUCCUCUGCGGGACGUUCUCACCGAGCACUGGCCAGUGCCGGCCACACCCAGGAACAUUCGCGGAACCCUGCUGCUGCCGAAGCCAAGAGACUGCAGCCGGGUGCCAGCCCGCCCCAGAAAAAGUUUGCGAGAUAGUGCAGCAGCAGCAUUUCAGGGACUAUGGAAACUCACAACACACACCUGGCACCAGGCUUCACCCUUAACGACCUUGUUCCAGCACCAGUGAAUGUGGCUGUUCUCCCGGGUCCACUGGGGCCUUGCCUUUGGGGACCCACACAGCCUCUACCAGGUGUCCUCCCAGCAGGGGAACCGCCUCUCCCCAUGUGGCCUGAAGAACCCUGGGCCCCACUCUGCUCCUGAGGAUCUGCCCUUCCCAUCAGAGCACCACCAGGUCUACAUCACAUCUACUAAUUUGCCGUUUCUCCUCUGCUAUGGAUUAGAAAAUUCAUACUUCGUAGAAAGCAAACCUAAGAAAAAACUCUGACUCCACUCACAUAUGGCCAAUUCAUUUAUGACAGAGAAGCCAAGAGUAUCCAAUGGGGAAAGGACAGCCUCUUCAAUAAAUGGAAUUGAGAAAACCGGGCAGCCACAUGCAAAAGAAUGAAACUGGACCAUGUGCAAAAAGUAACUCAAAAUAUAUUAAAGACUCAAAUGUAAGACCUGAAACCAUAAAACUCCUGGAAGAAAACAUAAGCAGUAAGCUUCUUGACAUAGGUCUUGGUGAUGACUUCUUGUAUACAACACCAAAAGCAAAAGCAAUAAAAGCAGAAAUAAACAAGUGGGACUCCAUCCAACUAAAAAUCUUCUGCUCAGCAAAGGAAACCAUCAACAAAAUGAAAAGGCAACCUGCUGAAUGGGGGAAAAUAUUUGCAAAUCAAAUAUCUGAUAAGGGGCUAAUAUUCAAAAUAUACAUAGAACACAUAUAACCCAAUAGCAAAAGACAAACAAACAUUCUGAUGGGGCAGAGAAUCUGAACAUGUAUCCAAAGAAGACAUACAGAUGGCCAACAGACAGAUGAAAAAGAUACUUAACAUCACUAAUCAUCAGGAAAAUGCAAAUCAAAACCACAUUGAGGUACUACCUCACACCUGUUAGUGUGGCCAUUAUCAAAAAGACAAGAAAUAACAAGUGUUGGUGAGGGUUUAGAGAAAACAGAACCCUGUGCAUUGAUGGCAGGAAUGUACAUUGGUGAAGCCACCACAGAAAAUUGUAUGGGGUUUCCUCAAACAAUUAAAAAUAGAAUUAUCAUAUGAUCCAGACAAUCCACUUCUGAGUAUUUAUCAAAGAAAAUGAGAACACUAACUCAAAAAGAUAUAUGCACCCCCAUGUUCAUUGCAGCAUUAUUUACAAUAGCCAAAAUAUGGAAACAACCUAAGCGCCCAUCAAUAGAUGAAUGGAUAAAGAACAUUUUAUAUAUAAAAAUAUACAGCAGAAUAUUAUUAAGCCAUAAACAAGAAUGAACUCUUGUCAUUUGUGACAACAUGAAUGAAACUUGAGGGCAUUAUGCUAAGUGAAAUAAGACAAACACCAUAUAAUCUCACUUGCAUGUGGAAUCUAAGAGUACAAAAAACAGGGGGGCCUGGCUGGCUCAGUUGGUUAAGCAUCUGACUUUGACUGAGGGCAUGAGCUCACAGUUCGUGUGUUUGAGCCCUGCACUGGGCUAAGAGCUCAGAGCCUGCUUUGGAUCCUCUGUCUCUCUGUCUCUCUCUCUCUGCCCGUCCCUCACUAGUGUUCUCUCUCUCUCUCUCAAAAAUAAACAUUUAAAAAAUAAAAAUUAAAAAAUUAAAAACAGCAACCAAGCUCAUCCAUGCAGACAACAGAUUGGUGGUUGGCAGAAGUGGAGGGCAGAGAGUGGGCAAAAUGGGUGAAGGAAGUCAAAAGGUACAAAUUCCCAGUUGUAAAAUAAGUCACAGGGAUGUAAUGUGCCGAAUGGCAACUAUACUAACUGUAUACUAACUGUAAUACUGUAUUGCACAUUUGAAAGUUGCUAAGAGAGUAAAUCUUCAAAGUUCCCAUCACAAGAAAAAAAAUGCUGUAACUACAUAUGGCGAUAGAUGUUAACUAGACUUACCAUAGUGAUCAUUUCACAACAUAUACAAAUUUUGAAUCAUUGUGUUAUACACCUGAAAUUAAUAUAAUGUCAUAGGUCAAUUACACAUCAUUUCUUAAGAAAAAAAAAAAAGAAAAAAGAAAGGGACGCCUGGGUGACUCAGUCGGUUAAGCGUCCGACUUCAGCUCAGGUCAUGAUCUCACGGUCUGUGAGUUCAAGGCCCUACGUCAGGCUCUGUGCUGAUAUCUCAGAGCCUGGAGCCUGCUUCGGAUUCUGUGUCCCCUCUCUCUCUCCCCCUCCUCUGCUUGUGCUCUGUUUCUCUCUCUCUCAAAAAUAAACAUAAAAAAAAAAAAAAAAAAGACCAGAAAACAGCUCUGAGUGAGGGCCUGAGAUUCUUGUCCAUGAAUCAAAUGAGAAUUAGGGUCUGGCCCUUGUGGUUUCACUUCUGACAAGCUCCCAGGUGCUGCUGCUGCUGCUGGUGUUGGGACAACACUUUGAGAACUCAUCAGGGAAGCCCAUCUCUUCUAACAUAGACAUUUCUUCCUUCUUGGAACCAAUCUCUCAGGGGGGGCCAAUUUAGAGGCUUCCAGAUAGAUGUCCGUGUUGAGGAGAUGACUGACCCAAUCCUCCUGGCUCUUCCUUUCCUCUUCUGGAUCAUUUUCAUUCUUCUGAAAUGUUCCAAGCACUUAGUAUACGAUCGUAUUCCCUGACCCAAAAUCUGUGUCCCCUAUUUACUGGAUGCAUAAAUAAAUAAAUGACAUAUAAACACGCAUACCUUAUUGAGCACUCUCAAAAGGCAGGUACUAUAUUCUCCAUACCCUCGUUAAUCUCCUUUAACCUUCACAGCAACCUAUGAGCUAGGAAUAAAUAACCCAUAUUCCAAGCUGAAGAGACAGAGAUUUGUGGAUAUUAAAUGACCCAUUCAUUCGAGGUCAUAGUUAGUAAGUUGCAUCGCUGGGAUUCCAACUCGAAUCCUCAGCCCCCAAGGCCAAAAUGCUGUCCAUUAGACCGCAGUUACUGCCUCUUUGAGAACAAACUGAAUAUGGGGAUGCAAAGAAAGACAGAAAUUUAUAGUUUUAGGGUGUUUUUUUAAGUUUACGUAUUUACUUUGGGAGAGAGUGUGUGUGUGAGUUGGGGAGGGGCGGAGAGAGGGAGAGAGAAAGAGAGAGAGACACAGAGACAGAGAGAAUCCCAAGCAGGCUUCACACUGCCAGCGAGGAGCCCGAUGUGGGGCUUGAAACCACUAACCACGAGAUCGUGACCUGAGCUGAAGUCGGAUACUUAACCUACUGAGUGGAGGUGGGAUGGGGCUACUGGAGUCAAAUGGGUGGAGUCCAGGGAUGCUGUUGAACACCCUCCAAUGCACGGGGCACACCGCCUUCCCUGCGGCAAAUAACGAUCCAGCCCCAAAUAUCACCAGCACCGUGGCUGAGGAACCCUGCCUAGAUCACAGCAUCUAUAAAGAAGAGACAGAAGACCGGAGUCUUGGGCAAACACCUGCUGUUUCUCUUAUGUCAGGAACAUAAGGGCGAGGGAAUUCAAACCACUGGUUUAGGGUGUGUUCCCGGUGGCUCACACACAGAUUGCUAUGGUCACUCUGGUUUCAGUUACAGCUGCCUACAGGAGCCUUUUGUGUUCUUCCAGAUGACCUGAAGAAGCAUAAGAUGCUACCCACGAAUCAUGUAUCAACAUAGCUUUUGACUUUGCUGUCACGGUUUCUCUCCAGUCAGGACUACAGUACAGGAUAUUAAAAAAAAAAAAAAAAAAAAAAAGGGCAGAGAAAGGAUGAGAAAAAGAACAGACCAGAAUCACCAAGGACAUCUCCUCCUCCUUACUACUCAGGGGUGGUGUCCAGAUCAACAGGACUGGCGUCUCCUUAGAACUGGGGAAUCUCAGCCCUCCCCAGACCUCCUGACUCAGAACCUGCAUCUUAACAAGAUCCCCAAGUGAUUCAUAUGCACAUUCGUGCUUGAGAAGCCGUGCUCUAGGGUUUCCAAAAGACAAAAUCAAAGUACAAAAUGAACAGCUGCAAAACAGAUGCAAAGCUCAUCACGUGAUGUGACAUAUGACUCUCCCCUCCGGGGAUUUAUGACCCUGGGUGGACAGUAGCUUGUAAUACAGAAAGCAGAAAUUUGAAGGCAUGUGUGCAAAAAGUCAGUGUCAUGUUAUGCCCUUUUAAUUGCCCUAACGGGACCAACUUUGGGUUAGAGGAAAUGUAGUGCCUAGUGCUGAAAACAGUUUCAUGUACGCAAGGGUUCAAGUGCUUGGAUUUGUUUUGUGUUUUUAUUUUUUUCAAAAGGAAACAAAAAUAGAAUUUAUAUUGAUCUUCCAUGAAA